UCUACGGGAGGCAGCAGUGAGGAAUAUUGGUCAAUGGACGCAAGUCUGAACCAGCCAUGCCGCGUGCAGGAAGACGGCUCUAUGAGUUGUAAACUGCUUUUGUACGAGGGUAAACGCGGAUACGCGUAUCUGUCUGAAAGUAUCUUACGAAUAAGGAUCGGCUAACUCCGUGCCAGCAGCCGCGGUAAUACGGAGGAUUCAAGCGUUAUCCGGAUUUAUUGGGUUUAAAGGGUGCUUAGGCGGUCGGAUAAGUUAGAGGCGAAAUCCCGAGGCUCAACUUCGGAAUUGCCUCUGAUACUGUCCGGCUAGAGAGUAGUUGCGGUAGGCGGAAUGUAUGGUGUAGCGGUGAAAUGCUUAGAGAUCAUACAGAACACCGAUUGCGAAGGCAGCUUACCAAGCUACGUCUGACGUUGAGGCACGAAAGCGUGGGGAGCAAACAGGAUUAUAUACCCGAGUAGUC
rnacentral:rRNA from 1 species